AACUUAAGCAUAUCAAUAAGCGGAGGAAAAGAAACCAACAGGGAUUGCCUCAGUAGCGGCGAGUGAAGCGGCAAAAGCUCAAAUUUGAAAUCUGGCGUCUUUGGCGUCCGAGUUGUAAUUUGAAGAAGGUAUCUUUGGGCCCGGCUCUUGUCUAUGUUCCUUGGAACAGGACGUCACAGAGGGUGAGAAUCCCGUGCGAUGAGAUGACCCGGGUCUGUGUAAAGUUCCUUCGACGAGUCGAGUUGUUUGGGAAUGCAGCUCUAAGUGGGUGGUAAAUUCCAUCUAAAGCUAAAUAUUGGCGAGAGACCGAUAGCGAACAAGUACAGUGAUGGAAAGAUGAAAAGAACUUUGAAAAGAGAGUGAAAAAGUACGUGAAAUUGUUGAAAGGGAAGGGCUUGAGAUCAGACUUGGUAUUUUGCAUGCUGCUCUCUCGGGGGCGGCCGCUGCGGUUUACCGGGCCAGCAUCGGUUUGGAGCGGCAGGAUAAUGGCGGAGGAAUGUGGCACGGCUUCUGCUGUGUGUUAUAGCCUCUGACGAUACUGCCAGCCUAGACCGAGGACUGCGGUUUUUACCUAGGAUGUUGGCAUAAUGAUCUUAAGUCGCCCGUCUU
rnacentral:rRNA from 1 species